rfam:Acinetobacter populi strain PBJ7 Contig1, whole genome shotgun sequence.
UUCUAUGGCAGGCUGGACAGGGCAGCCUUCGGGCUGGCCGCUCCCUGUGAUCGCGGUAUUCUCACCCCUGUUCAGUCUGUCACCAUU